CCGCCGCCGGCGACGUCCGCGAGAAGUCCACUGAACCUUAUCAUUUAGAGGAAGGAGAAGUCGUAACAAGGUUUCCGUAGGUGAACCUGCAAAAGGAUCAUUGUUGAUGCUGCCUUGAAGCAGUAGGACCCCGCGGGUCCGGUUAGCAGCGCAACCAACCGGCUGUCGUCGGGUGCGACCAUGACGGCCGAACAACCAACCCCGGCGCCGCACGCGCCAAGGAAACGCAACGAACGAGCGUGCUCCCGGCGGCCCGGAAUCGGGGACCGGCCGGCAAGCGUCGAUCCAACGUUAUGUGACACACAAAAUGACUCUCGGCAACGGAUAUCUCGGCUCUCGCAUCGAUGAAGAACGUAGCGAAAUGCGAUACUUGGUGUGAAUUGCAGAAUCCCGUGAACCAUCGAGUCUUUGAACGCAAGUUGCGCCCGAAGCCAGCAGGCGGAGGGCACGUCUGCCUGGGUGUCACGCAACGUCGCCCCCCACCCCAACUCGGGCGGGGCGGACGAUGGCCUCCCGCGAGCCGCGUCUCCCGGCUGGUCGAAACGCGGGCCCGCGGCKGCGACCGCCACKAUCCGCGAUGUUGGAUUCAACUCGACGAUCCGGAAUGCGUCCCGCGUAAAAGGGUCCGAGGUACGGGUUUCACGAGACUCACUCGUCGCAUCAUCGAUGCGACUGUCUGACAGGCGGGCACCGGUGUUGAGUUUAAGCAUAUCAAUACCGCAGGAA
rnacentral:rRNA from 1 species